rnacentral:rRNA from 1 species
GAUGAACGCUAGCGGCAGGCUUAAUACAUGCAAGUCGAGGGGCAGCGCGGGUAGCAAUACCUGGCGGCGACCGGCAAACGGGUGCGGAACACGUACGCAACCUUCCCAAAACUGGGGAAUAGCCCCUCCGAAAGGAGGAUUAAUACCCCGUAACAAUAACGAAGUGGCAUCACUUUGUUAUUAUAGUUCCGACGGUUUUGGUAUGGGCGGUGCGCCUGAUUAGGUAGUUGGCGGGUAACGGGCCCACCAAAGCCUGCGAUCAGUAACUGGUGUGAGAGCACGACCAGUCACACGGGCACUGAGACACGGGCCCGACUCCUACGGGAGGCAGCAGUAAGGAAUAAUUGG